UGCCCAGCAACUCCUAUCCCUACCUCCUCGCGGUACCGGCCGGAAACUAUGAGCAACCUUAGGGAAGAUCGGGUAACCAACCCCGGUGAGAACUUUGGUCGUAGGCUGACAGGAAAGG
rnacentral:ribozyme from 1 species